rnacentral:tRNA from 1 species
GGAUUGUGGCUCAGAGGCAGAGCGCUUGCCUAGCACAUGCAAGGCCCUGGGUUCAAUCCUCAGCACCA